ensembl:lncRNA
CCCAGUGCCUUUGCAGUGCUUGCAGAGGAGACACAAUGCCAGCUCCUUUCUCACCAUUCAGGGGAAGCAGCUUCACUUUAAGAAAAUCUGGGAUCUAUCACACAUCGCUCCUCGCUUGAGGCAACUGACACAGGGCUGUAUUUAGCAGCUACAACACAACAAAGACUUUCUGGGGAGUAGAAGAACGUCAAAUAUAGUACCACCAUCUCUAUUUACCUCUGCACGGUUUGUAUCACAUGCAUUAAGGGAGGGAACAACACGUUUUGUACAUGGCUACAACUGACACGGCAUUGCUCAUAACUGUAAUCCUUCCCAUCCUUUUUCAGGUCCCUAAAAUAGCACGUAAAUAUCACUGAAAAUUAACAUUCCCUUCUGUACUGCAUGCAAUGGCUUUCACAGAAGUUCCAAAGCAGAAAAGACAAAAAAAGAAACCACUUUAAUGAUAAAUUAUUCACAAAUACAUUACAUGAAAUAAAACGUUAGCGUGAAGAAAGCAGAGGAUGCUGCUGCAGCACCCUACAGUCCAAUGAUAGGGCACAAAGGUAACGCACCGCCCUGCAACAGCAAUGGGAAAUGGGACCGGAGGAGAAAAUUUGUGUAGAUGAAUUUGAGUGGAACGAUGAAAAGGAAGAGAGUUCUCUUCUAAACAGAUAUGGUGUGAGCUCCAAGCUUCGUGGCUCCGUGCACUCCAGAAUGUCCUACAGUAAGCAGACGUUUAUAAAUACAUACUGGUGAUAUACAAGUACUGGCAAAAAGCUUCUGGUGUCAACCACAAGAGCAUAUUAAACCACGAGGACUUAACUGAAGAGCUGUCUGACUUCAACAUCCUUUGCAUCAGUCCUACAUAGCCUACUGAAUUGUUGAAAUGCAUAGAAAACAUUUAAAAGGGAUUCUUACCAUUGUUACCACGAGCAGGCUGGCAGCCCAGCCAUCCCUGUCUCAUGUGUCCAUCAGAAAUAACGUUUUUCCUACCUACAAAGUGAGAUGUUCCGUGUCACUGGAUAUACCGACUGUGCAUCAAAGCAGACAUUAUGCACACAACACAUUGGUGCUGCAGGGACGCUCCAGCACAGCACUGUGACAAACGUGCAGUGCUGGGGCUUGGCUCACCACCAGCUCCUGUCUCACCGUGCAGCUCCUCCUGCAUCCAGUCGAGCAUCCGUGCAGGACUGGAGGGCUGCACGGGGUCCAUCGGCCCAAUAUUUAACAGGCUAAAAUCAAUCCUUAGCAGCCGCAGGGUGGUUAUUUUAAAUGGAAAAAACGUGUGUUUCGUAAGGGCUGUUUGUCACCUCUGCUCAGUAACACAACUUCUGAACAGCAUCCAAAGGCUGAGGAACUGGUUCACUUGCAAUCACCUCAGCUGCAUUUCAGGGUUGUUUUUUUUUUACCAUUAAAGAAGGGCCCUCCAGGCCAACUGUCCAAAAACAAAUGCUAACUGUAACUGAAGCAACUGAAGGACAGAACACAUCUGGACCUCGGGGCAUACAGUGACUCUUUCAAAGUCUAGACACAUUUCUGUUCUCCUCAUUCCAGAUUCUGAGGCGUUCACACCCUACAGGGAGACAUCUUCCCACCCUCGCUGCCCUGCUGCUGGCCGUGGCAGAGCACGGGCUGCCCACACCGUGCUGGUCCCAUGCACACAGCACAGCUGGGAGCAGAGGGUAAGGCCAGGGGUGGCUGUGCCCUGCGGGGAGGUACGUACACAAAGCACCGCUGCUGUGGUCCCUGCUUCAUUUCCUCUCCCAGCCACAGCGUUCUGUUUACAGGAGUAACCACCACCCAAGAACUUUCUGCAACUAAACACCUGCUCUUCUAAAAUGAAAUGUAAAAUUCAUCCUCCGUUCACCUCUACCAGCUUUAUUUUAUUUCUCACUUCUGCCCCACUUUGCCCUUUCCCCUGUGUGUCUCUGCCCGAGCUGCAGGAAGCUCCCCCAGAGCUGCCUCCCAUGCUGGGUGCAGUUCCAGCUGACCCCCAGGCAGACACAGCUCGGAUAAGAAAACUCAGAACACAAAAAGCGGAGGUCUGAACCAGAAACGCAGCUGAUAUAUCUGGGCCCUAUUAAAGCAUUUGAUACAGUGCCUUGGAUAAUUUUACUUGAAUCUGAAUUUGCUUGGAUCUUCUUGGCACUUUGGUGCGUUCUGAACAUUAACUGAAAGUUGGAGGAUUACGAACAUGGCAGAAGUAUUAAGUGGAAGAAUGGAGCCUGGGAUAAUCUGACAUACAACUGUCACAGCUCUCCUGAAAUGUAGCAACAAACUCAUUAAAAGGGAAGGCCGAAACAACUGGGAAACAGUACCAAACAACAAACAAACAAGCAAAGCAUAACAGAAACAAACGCAGACACAUAUCUGAAAGCAUUUAAGAGUUCACAAGUGAACAAGAUGAUUUGUAUCACACCAAAUGAAUGUACGAGAGCUGGAUGAAAAGAGUCUGAACCCAGGUGGGGUGAUGCUCUGCAGCCACAGGCAGAGCCAAUUGGCCUUCAGAGGGAUGAUUGCUGAUCCCACAUGCAAUAGUGGCUGUCCACCACAGUGACAGCAGAACUCGUUUUCUUUCUUCUUUUCACAGACCGAAGCUCCUCAACUUUAUCCCAUUAUUUCACUUUAUGCCGAGAAUCCCCACACAAGUUCUCCCCUGUGAGAUGUGAGAUGUACUGCUCAGGGCCUCGUGGGCCACGCUCGGAUCUGCUUCUGCACAUCAGCCACACGUGCUCAGCCCUCACAGGCUGCUCCUAGGCAGUUCCCCCCCUCAUUCGGCACCCUCAGGUUCAGGACAAGGCCAAGGUCCAGCACAAGCGGAGGGCAACACAUCUGGUGAGCACUGUGGGGCCCAGACAGGGCAGAGCCUGCAAUACGGCCCCACAGCCACCCCUACCCGGAUGUGCAUUUCAGAUCUGCUGAGAAAAGCCACUGGUUUCAGGGCCUGUGCUAAACUUGAAUAUAAUGGAGUUACUCCAAAUGCAUAUGGCAUAGAGGAGCAGAAUUUACCUCAGUGAACCCAUUGUACUGCUCAGUAUUACAGGGCUGGAAGCUAUGGAUGCACUGUUGCCUGGGUUGGGUCUGCAGUGAGCAAAGGCUCUCAGUGCUACAACACAAUGCUGGAAGAAGGAUCUGGCGGUGUUAGCUGCCAGGUGGCUGAACAUGAGGCUGCAGUGUGCCAGGUGACCAAGGCGGCCAAUGGCACCCUGGCUUAUAUCAGAAACGGGGCAACCAGCAGGAGGUGACUGUGCCUCUGUCCUGGCACUGGCGAGGCCGCACCUCGAGUGCUGUGUUCAGCGUGGGGCCCUCACUGCAAGAAAGGCAUUGAGGCCCUGCAGCAUGACUAGAGAAGGGCAACAGAUCAGCUGAAGGGUCUAGGGCAUGAGUCGUAUAGGGAGCAGAACACUGAAAGCAGCCUCUGCUCUCAGGUAACAGCCACGGGACAAGAGGUAACGGCUUUAUGUCGCUCCGGAGGUGCAGACUGGCUAUUCAGAAGAAUUUCUUCUCACAAAGAGCGGUGAGGCGCUGGCACGGCUGCCCAGGGAGGCAAUGGGGUCCCUGAAGGUGUUCGAGAACCGCAGAGAUGUGGCACUGAGGGACACGGCGGUGCGCUGACGGCUGGACCAGAUGAUCUUCGUGGUCUUUUCCGACCUUAACGGCCGUACGACGUACACAGGCGCAGCGGCGGCUCCUCCCGGCCCGGCUGCAGCACAGACACCUGCUCUGUGCGCCGAGCAGAAAGGAAGGAAACGGCCCGGGCACGUGAGGUUCCUCCCAGAAAGAAGCGGCGCCCGCAGCGCAUCCCGCGCCGCGGCGUUCCCCGGCGGCCGCUCCC